AUAGGGGAGCCGGAGGGAAACCGAGUCUUAAUUGGGCGUUAAGUUGCAGGGUAUAGACCCGAAACCCGGUGAUCUAGCCAUGGGCAGGUUGAAGGUUGGGUAACACUAACUGGAGGACCGAACCGACUAAUGUUGAAAAAUUAGCGGAUGACCUGUGGCUGGGGGUGAAAGGCCAAUCAAACCGGGAGAUAGCUGGUUCUCCCCGAAAGCUAUUUAGGUAGCGCCUCGUGAAUUCAUCUCCGGGGGUAGAGCACUGUUUCGGCUAGGGGGCCAUCCCGGCUUACCAACCCGAUGCAAACUGCGAAUACCGGAGAAUGUUAUCACGGGAGACACACGGCGGGUGCUAACGUCCGUCGUGAAGAGGGAAACAACCCAGACCGCCAGCUAAGGUCCCAAAGUCAUGGUUAAGUGGGAAACGAUGUGGGAAGGCCCAGACAGCCAGGAUGUUGGCUUAGAAGCAGCCAUCAUUUAAAGAAAGCGUAAUAGCUCACUGGUCGAGUCGGCCUGCGCGGAAGAUGUAACGGGGCUAAACCAUGCACCGAAGCUGCGGCAGCGACGCUUAUGCGUUGUUGGGUAGGGGAGCGUUCUGUAAGCCUGUGAAGGUGUGUCGUGAGGC
rnacentral:rRNA from 1 species